AGGACGAACGCUGGCGGCGUGCUUAACACAUGUAAGUCGAGCGAGGCUUCUCCUUCGGGAGAUGUCCUAGCGGCGAACGGGUGAGUAACACGUGGGCAACCUGCCUCUAGCUCUGGGAUAACUCCGGGAAACCAGGGCUAAUACCGGAUACGACCUCGAGCGGCAUCUAUCGAGGUGGAAAGUUUUUCGGCUAGAGAUGGGCCCGCGGCCUAUCAGCUUGUUGGUGAGGUAACGGCCCACCAAGGCGACG
rnacentral:rRNA from 1 species